rnacentral:rRNA from 1 species
GAAUUCACUAGUGAUUCAGGCCUAACACAUGCAAGUCGAACGGCAGCACGGAGCUUGCUCUGGUGGCGAGUGGCGAACGGGUGAGUAAUAUAUCGGAACGUACCCUAGAGUGGGGGAUAACGUAGCGAAAGUUACGCUAAUACCGCAUACGAUCUACGGAUGAAAGUGGGGGAUCGCAAGACCUCAUGCUCGUGGAGCGGCCGAUAUCUGAUUAGCUAGUUGGUAGGGUAAAAGCCUACCAAGGCAUCGAUCAGUAGCUGGUCUGAGAGGACGACCAGCCACACUGGAACUGAGACACGGUCCAGACUCCUACGGGAGGCAGCAGUGGGGAAUUUUGGACAAUGGGCGAAAGCCUGAUCCAGCAAUGCCGCGUGAGUGAAGAAGGCCUUCGGGUUUAAAGCUAAUGGUCAGGGAAGAAACGGUGAGGGCUAAUAUCUCUG